UAAGUACUAACGAUAUAUAUUAAAAAAAAAUAAUAUCCAAAAACUUUACGUAAGAAUACUUACCGGAUUAUGUAUAUACCAAGGAAAUUUAAGAAGAGUGAAACUGUCACACCCGUCUCCCUCAACAUUGAGACGGCGUGCUUUCACCUUAUUUAUAUCUUUUUUAUUUAUAUCUUUCGUCUAUUUCACUUUCUUAAUUCAAAUACAAAAUUGUCUUACAAAUAAUUUUAAAUCACUGAAAACUAUUUAAUAAAUCGUAUAAGAAAAUAACAAUAUUAGAAAAUAAAUCUGAGGUUUCCAAAAUACACCAUAAGCAAGACGGACUUGAGCGACUACACACAAUUCUCAAUGUGACCUGGGAAAAAGGGAAAAGAAAGGGGUGAGUAAAGAAUUACUCAGUGAGAGGAUCCUUUCCGCCCACUGGAAAUACGAUACACGAUUCUACCUUUAAACCACAAUCAACAAUCACCUAGAAAAUAGACACAACACUCAUAUAGUCUGCAUCACUAUGCAAACCUAUAACACACAACUCAUUCUUGCUUAAGCAAGAUCUCCACAUCAUAACCAGGUCCGAUCAUCUCCCUGACCUUUGAACCUAUCUAGUUCCACUGGACUCGUCAGUCUUUUAUUGAGCUACAAAGAACCCGUCAAUUCAAUGUAGACCAUUUUCCACUGUUCCACUUUUCAUUGUGAUUCUACUUUCUCAUAUAACUCAUAU
rnacentral:sRNA from 1 species